rnacentral:lncRNA from 1 species
AUGACUCCAUUCCAUUUAAGCAAAAGGAGGAAUGUACAGAACAUCAGAAAUUCAGGGGUCAUAUCCCAGACUGCUUGUCCUGCUGUUCUUCGGAGAAUUAUGAUGGGGGAGGAAGGGAAGACGUGCAGAUGUAGUAAUCGUAAGAUUCCCCAUGUGUCAGACCUGGAGUAUGAUUACCUCAUUAAUAAUCAGAUGCCCUCCAAGGAGCAGAUCAUAGUGGUCUGUGUCUCUACUUCUUCUUCACAAAUGAACAAGGAUCCUAGUGAAGACAAAUUAGAGCAGCUCUAUGAAAGAAAAAACAAGAACAGAAGUAUGCCUUGUGCUCAGGGUUGUCUGGAUUCCUUUCGCCUCCUCAAAUAUGACAUCAUYUCUGCAGAUGCAUAUACAGAUCAUAAAGGUUCUUUACUGGUAGAGAGACAUAACGUAGCUCCUGGCAUGUUUUUGGUACGUGAAAACUAUUAUAGCUGGUUAUUAACUUCUAGUGUUAUUACUAUGAUCUGGUUACAAAUGAGUGACUUUGGGAUUGACACAUGUUAUGUCUAUUUUGACCAGCCAGAGAGCAGAAUGGUAGUAGUCUUUCUUCAGGAGUACAGACUGUUGUCACAGCAGCCCCAGCUCUCCAUUAUCUAUUAACAAUUCAGGACUUAUAGUGCAUCAGCCCAUUUUGAUUCCACCUUGCAAAUAGCAAGUACCACAUUCUACUUGCCACAGCGCUAGUAAAGGAACAUUAUUUCUUCCUUUGGAAUUCAGUGGUUAGAUCCAGCUCUGUGCAACUAAACACAUUUCUGCUUCAUCUGUGGCAAAAAGUUAUGAAGCAUAUCACACAACAGUAUGUUUCAGUCUU